CAAUGACAUUAGUGACUUUAUAAGAAGUGUAAGAGUGACUAGAGCUAGUACAUUUGCUCUGUCUCACCAAGUGAUGUCUUCUGCCAUGUUACAUGUAGCAAGAAGACCCUCUCCAGAUGCCGAACAGAUACCUGUGCCAUGCUCUCAGACUUUCCAACCUUCAGAACUACAUGUCAGUAGAGACAGGAGAUGGCUUCCCUUUCCUUUGACAACAUCUGCCUUCAUGAAAAGCCCAUGAACAAUACAGAAGAUAAAACCAGAGUGGAUUUUACAAGUGCAGAAGCUUUUUAAUAAGAUGAGAUACCAAGCUGCUGUCCCACUGCUCCUGGUCCAGAGGAAGGGGCUUCCCGGUCAUCAUCCCUCCGGCUGCUCCCAGCCCAGAGGAAAGGGCUUUUGGGCCACCAUCCCUCCCAAUGCUCCUGGCCCAGAGGAGGGGGCUUCUGAGCCACCAUCCCACUGCUCCUAGACC
rnacentral:lncRNA from 1 species